rnacentral:rRNA from 1 species
GGGGACCGCCGGACAGUUCGUGAGGUGUUGGCCCUCUCUAAAGCCAACUCCACGGGGCUUGUUUUUCUGUCGGAAACAAGACAGGCCUCUUCAAAGAUGGAGAAACUGAGGUGGAGAUUGCAGAUGAAGGGUUUUGCUGGCGUGUCGAGUGACGACCUUAGUGGAGGCCUUGCACUCUUUUGGGAUGAGAAGUUGCAAGUGACGGUGCUGGAUUCUUGUGCACGGUACAUUGACGUGCGGAUUGUAGAUGUGGCAAAUGAUAAAAGUUGGAGAACGACGUUUGUAUAUGGGGAACCCCGAGUUGAAAACCGUCAUCUCAUGUGGAGGUCUCUUUCCCAGCUCCAUGCGGUUUCGUCAGAUCCGUGGUUAGUGUGUGGAGACUUUAAUGAGGCAAUGUGGCAGCACGAGCAUAUGUCUAGAGCCCAGCGCUCUGAAAAUCAGAUGGAGUUAUUCCGGGACUGUUUGUUGGCAUGCGAAUUAUGGGACCUCGGUUUCUCGGGGUAUCCAUUUACAUAUGAUAAUGGGCAGAUUGGAGAGAGGAACGUGCGAGUUCGCCUUGAUUGA